rnacentral:rRNA from 1 species
UACAGAGGGUGCGAGCGUUGUCCGGAAUCACUGGGCGUAAAGGGCGCGUAGGUGGCGCUCCAAGUCUGUGGUGAAAGCUCGAUGCUUAACAUCGAGUCGGCCACGGAGACUGGAGGGCUCGAGCACUGUAGGGGCAGAUGGAAUUCCGGGUGUAGCGGUGGAAUGCGUAGAGAUCCGGAAGAACACCGGUGGCGAAGGCGGUCUGCUGGGCAGUUGCUGACACUGAGGCGCGACAGCGUGGGGAGCAAACAGG